rnacentral:lncRNA from 1 species
GCUGAUUCUAGCAGACGGGUUUGCUAGUGAGCUUGACUGAAGCUUUUAAUUGUUGUGCUGGCAAUUUAAAAAACUAAUUAGCAGCAGCCUCACCCCCUUAAGAAGGAAACAGGCCUUGCCAAGGAAAACGUGGUGAAGACACCAGGCUUCUACUCCGAAGCGGAAGCGCAGGUCAUGUGAUGCUGCUGAACAAAGCGGCUGGAGUCAGGAGAGCUGGAGAGGAUUCGCGGGGUCAGUGGAGGCCAGCAGGUGGACGACGGAGCUCCCCGCUCGGACCCUGCUUCUCAGAAAGACCUCACCUGGCUAAGGCAAUUUUCUCUGUGUCCAUCCGCUGUAUUUCCCGGACAGCGGAAAUCUCACAAAUGGAUAAGAGGUGGCCUCUGCAGUGGG